GGCAUUGCUGGGACCAGCCGUAGGGGCUGGGGAGGAUGGAGUGUGCUUGCAGGAGGCUACAGGAACAGCUCGGGUGUCUUUUCCAGGAAGUUGGGUGCACACUCCCCGCUUCUUCUUUCUCUGCGGUCUUUUGGAGUUCAGCUUAAAUCAGAUCUGGAAAACAGCAUCCUGCUGCAGAAUAGCCAACGGUCCGAGAAACAGACUCCUACUAUAAAAAAUCUUACGGGAGCCAGAUGCCCCCGACCCUGACAGAGAUUGAUCAAGUGGCUGGUGGUAUCACCUUUCACUUUGCUUUGGCACGGGGGGAAGCCCGGAAUGAUGGGAAGUUUUCAGUGGUACUUUCAGAAAGUAUUUAAGUGUUGUUGUUGUUGUGUUUUGUUUAAGUGCUGCAAACAGGAAAUCAGGUCAUUCUACAUCACACAGUGCAAGCACAGAGACAGAAAGGGAGGAGGAGGGUGGGUAGCAAGGAGCACUCACUCCUGAGGAGCAACCCGUCCUAACUGCAGCACGCUGCAGAUGUGUGCUUUGUCAGAGGCUGGAAAAGUUCAUCGCCAUGGAAGGGAAAUCUAUGAGACGUGCCUCCUGGAGGUAUGGGAGGCUCUGAGACAAGCCUUCCGGGACAGGGGGAAUCUUUAGCCAGAGAACCGCUUUGGAGAAAAGAGACAGAGAUGCCCGGGUGUGCCACCACCAGCCUUUGCAGAAGCGGUGCGCCAGGCCUUCCCGCGGGGUGUUUCCGCAGCGGCGGCAGAGUCCCGCCCGCCGGUCAUUGUAACACAAAAAUGCUGUCUCUCUGGCAUGACGUGUCAGCCCAAAUGUUGCUGCUGGAAUCAAGCACUGGAAGAGCCUGACAAGGCCCUGGCAAAUCUGAGAGGCUCACCCCAAGUCCAGCUGCUGAGCCCUUGGAAAGCAGGGAUGCAUCUUGGCAGUGUAUCUCACCACGGCAUGGAUAUUUUCCUGGAGCAGCCGCAGGAGUGGUCACAGUGUCCUCCACUAAACUCUGGUGUGGAGGAUGGCUAUUGCCACCCACACACUUCCUGCAAUUUCUGCUUAAACACAGUGAUCUUUACUUGCUGCCUGUGGUUGGCCUCAGGGAACCCUCCCAGGCAGGCCAUGCUUGCAGCGAUGUGAAGAAAGAGCAGGUUUUGCCAGAGAGACCUCCACGUGCACAUGCUGGCACACAGGCUAGAAUGCCACCUGCUGAAGUGGUGGCUGGUCAGAAACAACACCAAAGCUCAGAGGAAAUCAAGGACUUGGAGAUUUUGCAUCCUGUCCCAGCUGCAUGUAUCCUACCAGUGUGUUUUGGGGAAGCUGGUGAGCCAGCCAAUGCCGUGGACACAGGAUAAAGGACAUCUCCAGUGCCCUCUUAUGUUCCCUGAAGAUUUUGUCCUGGGUGGCAGUCCCCCCACAGGGAUGUGCACAGGCCACUUGGAUGGGCAGGUGAUGUCAAAUGUCCUUGUCCAGCCUAAUUCAGGAGGGCAUGAACUGAAAAAAGAAGUGUUUUCCUCUUGCGUGUUUUCCUGGGAGUAGCAGUGGCACUAGCUCUGCCAGGGAGCUUGCUGUGGCCUCUGAGCUGCUCCAGCUUUUGACAGGGUUGCUGAUUUCCUGUUGACUCCCAGCCAGAGCCACCUCUGAAAUGGUGGUAUGGGUCAGGCUGAGAUGGGUCCAAGGAACCCAGGGAGAGUGGAGGGCCCUUUGUCACCCACCUGGCCGUGGGGCAGCCUCCUUGGCCACUGAGGGUGGAGGUCAGCUCCUCUGCUGUCACAAAAGGCUCCUGCUGUGGGAUCUGUCCACUGGGUAAUGCUCCUCCAGGGAAAAAGAGAGACACACUCUUGUCUUUUCAUGAGCUAGGAGAGGACUGUGCUGCUGAGGGAGCAGCCAGUAAGAAAAGUGUCUACUUCUCCUUCCCCUUUAUUUUUUAUGGAUUUAUUUUAUUACUUCGUUGCAUUUAUUUUCACUUUGUUCUUUUUUUUUAUUUACUCGGCUCUGCUCCAUCAUUUUUACUUGUCUCCCUUGUGUGCUCUUCAGACUGACAGUCCCUUUCACCCUGCUCUCUGCACCUCCCUCCCUGCCUGAUGGGAAGGUUGUUCCUCGGGUGCUGGAGUUCAUUCCUGUGUGUAGAACACUGUUCAGCAGAGGAAGCUGGGGGAGGGCCAUCCUGCUGCCCCAGCUGGGUGAGUGCCUGUGCCAGGCUGCUCCUACCAUGUGUGACUCAGGUGUCCCUCACUCCUGCUCCCACACACUCACUGACCUUUUCCUGCCAGUUCUGAGAUGGGGCCACAGGCCACCUCUCACACAGCCUGUUCCUCUUGAAAGAUACGAUAGAAUUCCUUUAUCUCCCAAUGCCAGGCAAGCCUGGGAUGCUCAGAGGUGCAGAUAACAUUGCUGCUGUGUGUACCAGGGGCUGGGCAAGGGAGCAGGAAGCCUCUCUUCUCCCUUUGCACUCAGCAGGACAGCCUGAUCAUAUCCCUGCCCUUGCUUUUAUUUCUGGGGGAUCCAGUUUCUCUUUCCAACCCGUUAGCAAAUCGCAGUGCAGCCCUUCUGGGUCCUGCUGACCGCCUGGCUCUGCCAAGUCCUUGAGGAAGGGGCGGCAGCCAAAGCCAGCUGGCAGGGGUGGCUGGCUACAGCUCCACCAGGAGCUGCAGGACUCUGGAGCAGGGGUGGCCUGGGAGCAUGGGUGGGUUCAGGCUGUGGUGCAGAAGCUGCUGGAGAAGCCAGGAGGUGCAUGAAAAAGCAGUUCAUGGCCUGGCAAAGGAGAUAAGGAGAAACUUGAUCCCUGCCUAAACAACCAGAGUUCUUGUUCCUUCAGGUCUGCCCCUCUAGGGGCAUAGUGCAAAUGUAAAUGUCCAGGUAUUUAUGUGCUCUGGUAUAAAUUCAAAACUACUUUUGGUACAAUUAGAGAAGAAAGACUAAAACUGUAGUUACCAUUAGCACAGAAUACCUGUGAUCCUCCCAUCUAAUACCGCAACGCAUUUUCCUGUGAUAUUUUACAGUGAGAACAUAAAGCCUGGCAUCUUUCAGUUUUAUGAUUGAAAGAUGUUUACAACAACAAAAAUAUGUGGGAAUUCAGUAUGUUCCACAUUAUCGGAUUAAAAGCCUGUCUCUCAACUUACUUACUGCUCCACCUAAGGCUUUUCCUGCACCUGUCUUCACAAGCAUCGGAGCUUUCGUGUUUCGUCUGUCUUUUUGUGGCCAGAUGAAGUCAUCUUGGAGCAUGGGUGCGGUGGUGAAAGACACACAGAGUGAAUUUACAUCUCUUGGAUAAAGGGAGAAACCGAAGAAAGAUUUCCCCUGUGAGCUGGUUUUUAUCGUCAGUGUGAACAUCUUAGUCAGCACAAGCUCAGACUUCUAAAAUUGUGCAGCCGUGUGCUGUGAGAGCUACAGCCUCUGCAGCUUCCUGCUUCCCUGGAUCAGCCAAGGAUAAAGGCUCCAGGAUCUGGUGCUCCUCUAGCAGGAAUGGCUGAACCCAGGCCAGGAGAUGUUGGCCAGUAGGUUGUGGCAGCCUGUCAGAAGUGACUGGAGACCUUUGUUGGAUGAACAAAGCCUAUCCACUCCCUGCCCAGCCUGACAACAACACAGAAGGCAUGGGACACCCCGUCACAGUCCUCUUGCUCAUCUUUCAAACUGCAGGAGAUGAAUGGCAAUGUCACCCCAGGACAUACCACCCUGCAGGCACUGCCAUGAGAGUCAUGGCAACAUCUCAGCAGGUGGUUUUCAGGGAGAAGAGACCAUUGGUCCCGAUGACACCUCUUCAGGACACCUCCAUGUGAGCCCAAGGGACCAGAGAGAUCCCCAUAUGGUGUAGUGAUGAUUGCUGUUAAAGACUGCAACCAAAACCCAGGAGCCACCCUUUUUUUGAGAAAGAGUUUCAGAGAAAUCCUCAGACCAAAGCAAACACUGCCACAGAAAAAUGUUGCAAUUCAACCCAGUUUUGAGGGAAGUGCCCCUGAUAACUUCUCAGCUCCAAAGAGAAGCAGUGGAGGCUGGGGCCACCGAGUCUCCAUGGAAAUCACAGAGGGUCUCAUUGGGUCCAGCCCAAAGGAGAGGAGCGGGUUUGAGCUGUGUUUGCACCAUCUGGCCAGGAAGAGAGGACUCAUCUCUGCCACAAAGGUCUCAGUGUGGUUUGUGCUGAAGCGAGAUCCCACAUCUGGGAUCUACCCAAGAGCUACAUCAUACUCUCUUAGAGAUAGGAAAGCUUCAUAAAGGGAAGACUUUGAAUCAGGAGUCCGCUGUGCAUUGCAACAUUUAUCAGUGUGAUUCACGUACCUCCAGUGUUACUGCAAAUCCGGGCGAAGUGUGAAAUGAUUCUCUCUCUUAUCUUUGAGGAACUGCAAUGUGCUCCAACCACGCUGACUCUGAAAGUCAGCUCUACCCUGCUUUGGGCCACAGAAAUUGUCAGGAUUUUUGAAAAAGCUCAACAAACCUCAACACCACAAUCUAGCCAAUUAAUUUUGAAGUGCUUUGGGAACAACUCAGGGUUUUUCCCUUUCACCUUAUGAAGCUCCAUAGACACCCUUGGAGUUCUGCAGGUACAUAACAAGUUAUGAAGCAGCUGGAGGCACUAAGAGAGCUGGAACAUGAUUAAUAACUGUCAAAUUACAGGGAACACAUUAAAAUCCCUUAAACUUCUCCCCUCCCCUACUUCAUUCUGGCAACUAGGACAUGAGCCUUUAGCUAGGCUGUCUUUCCCCGAGGCAGUCCCUUCACUUGAGGCAGGAGAUGAUCUGAAACCACAGGCAAGGAGUUCAGAAACUUCAUGACAAAAUAAUGACUUGGAAAAAAAAGAGAGACUGGGUGAGCUGCAGCACCAGGGAUCAUGCGUGUGGCAGCACCAGAGUCUUCAGACUUUCAUCAUACCCAUUGCUUGACUGCCUGAUAAACCACCUUCUUUUGUAUUCCCAAUUGCAAAAUGGCUCUGCAGCAGCUCUAGCAAUUGCUCAGAGAGGAAAGAAAUACUUUCCUUGCAUCCUUAGCAUAGCAGGUUUUUUAAAAAUUAAAGAAAAAAAUAUAUUAAUUCUGCAUUUUAUUUCGGCCCUUUGCUAUACCUCUGCUCUGUGUCUGAAAUGUUUUCUUCACCAAAGAGACAAGCAGAGGCAGUCAACUCAUUACAGACGGUGUUUUUAGGUUUAUCAAUGUUAAGGUUGUUUUCUUGUACACAUUUCAGUACUGGUUUUUGGUUUAGAUAGCAUGGGGUACUUUGUCCCCCUGCUGUCUUAAGCAGAAAAACUUAAGAAGUUUGUUUCUCACUCCUGUUUGCCAUGGAGGCCUCAAUCCCAGAGAAAAUUGUAGAAGAAACCCAGUUAAUCAAAGGUUAAAUAAAAUGAAUGAGAUUUGUACGGUG